rnacentral:rRNA from 1 species
UGCAUAGAGACCACCCAGAACCCCGAUUGCGAAGGCAGCUGGCAAAACUGCCACUGACAUUGAGGCACGUAAGCGUGGGUCCCGUACAGGAUUAGAUUCCCUGGUAGUCCACUCAGUUANCGAUGACCACUGGCUUUUGGUGAUACACAAUCAGAGGCUGAGCGAAAGCAUUAAGUGGUCUACGUGGGGAUUACGUUUGCAAGUAUGAAACUCAAAGGAAGUGAUGGGGGCCCGCACAACAGGAGGAACAUGUGGUUUAAUUCGAUGAUACGCGAGGAACAUUACCUGGGCUUGAACUGUCAGUGACGCUUGGGGAAACCCAAGUUCCAUUUUGGGAGCUGUCAGAUGGUGCUGCAUGGCUGUUCUCAGCUCGUCCCCUGAGGUAUCGGGUUAAGUCCCAUAACGAGCGCUAACCCAUAUUGCUAGUUACCAGCACGUAAAGGUGGGGACUCUAAUGAGACUGCCACCGUAAGGUGAGAGGAAGAUGGGGAUGACGUCAAGUCAGCACGGCCGGUAUGUCCAGGCGAUACACACGUGUUAUAAUGGCCGGUA